AGAGGAGAGCUGCCAACUCCUUGC
rnacentral:siRNA from 1 species